rnacentral:lncRNA from 1 species
UUCUGCUUAUAUACCUAAUAACACCAUAUACCUAAUAACACAAACUCCACACUUGAAUUAUUAUGUACCUGCUCAGGAGAAUAUCUUCCCUGCAGUUCAAAUGUUUUUCUCCAUGGCUCUGACAGAUGCCUGAGGAAGUUCUCUGAGGCUUUCUGAACUAAGGCUCCUCUGCUAAGUUAUAGGGCACAUCUUUCUUCCCAGCAACACAACUAGGAAGUCAGUCAUGAGAGGAAGGAUGCAGAAGAGAGGAUGAGUUUGGAGGUGUUUUGUGGUUUUUUUUUUGUUUUGUUUUUUUUUUCUUUUUCAUGCAACAUACAUGUAGCAGAAGCAGAAAGUUGCAAUACUUGAGCAUCUUGUAGGGAAGAGAAAGAAAAUCACAUUGAAUGUUAUGUUUGUCUGGUACUGAACUCUAUAGCUAGGAUUAUGAACUUGGUAAGGGAAGAAUGGAAGAAGAAGAGAAGGUAGAAAAAAGCUAGUACAAGCAGGAAGAUGCAUCUGGGACACAUGGAAGAGGCAUCAGAGAAAGAAGAUGGGUGAAAGCAAGAUGAGGGAGGCAAAAUCUGAAAGGUGGGAACCCCCCUCAAAAAUAGCAGAAAGGUUGCCCAUACAGAGAAAAUAAGCUAGCUGUGGAAAGAAAAAAAAAAAGAUGAAACCAAGUUUUUACCGUAAGAGCGGAGAUUUUAGGAUCCUACUUCCAACAUCACUGAAAAAGUGGCCUCUUAUUUGGAGGUGGGUUUGAAUUUUGUUUUGGGUUACGUCAGAGCUCCAGGAUACUCAAGCCCCUCAGAGUUAGCUGUCAGUUUUGGAGACGCUGGCUGCACUGGCCCUGCUUGCAGCAUAAUAAGGAAUUGUGAUGUCUAAGAGCACCAUCAAGUGGUGAAGGGAAGCCGAUAUUAAAACAGCCAAACAGCUCUCUUUUGGCGCAUUUGGCAAGGAAGCAUCCAAGCCUGCAGAGAGCUUUGCUGUCUCAUCCACAGAGGACUUCUGCCACGGUGACUUUUGGGACAAUGCAGACUUUUCUGAAGCACAGAAGACACAUGGAGGGCUUUUUACUUGUCUUAUUAACCAGGAGGCCCUUUUAGGAUCCAGCUGCCUCAAGAGCACUGCUGAGGUCAGGUUGGAGGAAGAAGAUAGAGAUCUCCAGCACGUGCUUGCACGUGGCAGGCAAAGGAGGGGGAUAAAUCCUUUUCUCCAGUGGGCUUCAGAGCCUGUUUAAGAUGCAGUAAUAAACCAGUCAAGUAUUUCCUCA